rnacentral:misc_RNA from 1 species
AGCAGCCGCGGUAAUUCCAGCUCCAAUAGCGUAUAUUAAAGUUGUUGCAGUUAAAAAGCCCGUAGUUGAAUUUCGGGGUUAGUAGGUUGGUCAUGCCUCUGGUAUGUACUGGUCUCACUGAUUCCUCCUUCCUGAUGAACCUUAAUGCCAUUAAUUUGGUGUUUUGGGGAAUUUGGACUGUUACUUUGAAAAAAUUAGAGUGUUUAAAGCAAGCUAACGCUUGAAUACAUUAGCAUGGAAUAAUGAAAUAGGACGUUCGAUCCUAUUUUGUUGGUUUCUAGGAUUGACGUAAUGAUUAAUAGGGAUAGUUGGGGGCAUUAGUAUUCAAUUGUCAGAGGUGAAAUUCUUGGAUUUAUUGAAGACUAACUACUGCGAAAGCAUUUGCCAAGGAUGUUUUCAUUAAUCAAGAACGAAAGUUAGGGGAUCGAAGACGAUCAGAUACCGUCGUAGUCUUAACCAUAAACUAUGCCGACUAGGGAUCGGAUGAUGUUAAUUUUUUAAUGACUCAUUCGGCGCCUUA